AUUUACAGAGAUCCCAUUGGCCAGAUAAGUCACGUGUUAACCACUGCAUACUCCCCUUAACAACAAGGUCCUUGACAACAGGUUCCUUAAGAACAAGAGGUUUGGGGUAUCCACGCUGUGUGAAAUUGUGGACCAUGUGAUCUAGUGCUGGUUCAACUCUCUCCUCAAUGCUGAUAAUCCGUCUAGCUCUUAACAUUUGGCUAGACGGAAGGGAUUUCACCAUUGAAUGACGGUAGUGACUUUCAAAUCUCAGAAUGGAGUUCCUAUCUGUAGGUUUAGUAUACAGGAGCUUCUCUAGGUUCUGAACUGCUGUAACUUCUUAAGAGGCUGCACCUUCAAUUGCUGUGGAAGACGUACUGCCACUACUUACUGCUACUGAAGACUUACUGUGGAAGAAGAAAUCAUUAGACCACAGACAGGCAGUAACGUGAAAGAGGAGCAACAAAUGCAUUUCAUGAAUCCACUAGAUUUCUACUUAUAAUCUCCAGAACAAACUAUACUAGGUCAAUGAGGCAACAUCCAUACAUUCAGCCGCCCAAGAAUGAAUAAAUGGUGCCUUCAGGUCAGCCACCAAUUUGUGCUGACAGGGUUUUCUUUAAACACCUACACAUAUGCUUCAUACUAAGUCUGCUAUUAGCAAUUGACAUCUUACAGGAGUACCAGUGUACUGGGCAUUAUUCACACCACACCCACUAAACAACUAAUUUAAUUAUAAACUGCACAGCCACAAGAGAAUGGGUGGUAUAGCAUGCUGAGUACUGUCAUAGUGUUGGGUGGAGCAUGCAUCUCCACUGACCCACUUAGAAUAUACACCUCUGUGAUUAAAUUCUAGAAUCACCGUAAAAAUGAGCGUUCUUUGCUGUUCAUUAACUUGCAGGAUGCAUAUUCCAUCAUAUAAUUAUAACGCAUAAUAGAAGUAAAUUAUUACCGCCCUUUGUUCUCUUCUUUUGGAUGUCAGAUAUAGGAGCAGAAAGAGAGAGCUAGAUUGAAUACUUUGAAUACCUUACUCAAAACCUUUCCUACUUCUUGUAGAGGAAAAUAGAUUGUAAAUAAAGUCCUGUGAUUACAGCAGCCUUGGCCCUGAAUCAAUCAGUAUGUGGGAAGAUCGGCAAAUCUCCCAGACUUACAGGCUCACAGGCUUUUAGAAACA